CAAUAGCGUAUAUUAAAGUUGUUGCAGUUAAAAAGCUCGUAGUUGGAUUUCUGGUUGAAGCGACCGGUCGGGCGUUGAUUCGUCUGCACUGGAGUCGGUUUUGGCCAUCCUCUAGGAAAGUGCGUCUGGUAUUAAGUUAUCGGGCGUAUGAUCCUGAUCUUUUACUGUGAAAAAAUUAGAGUGUUUAAAGCAGGCCUUCGCCUUGAAUACAUUAGCAUGGAAUAAUAAGAUAGGACUUUGGUCUAUUUUGUUGGUUUGCAGACCGAAGUAAUGAUUAAUAGGGAUAGUUGGGGGUAUUUAUAUUCCGAUGUCAGAGGUGAAAUUCUUAGAUUUUCGGAAGAUAAACUUAUGCGAAAGCAUUUACCAAGGAUGUUUUCAUUAA
rnacentral:rRNA from 1 species